rnacentral:tRNA from 1 species
GUGGUGUAAGGCGAACAUCGCUGCCCGGAAAGCAGAAGAUGCGGGUUCGAGUCCCGCCUGGCGAA